ACUUGUGCCAUUACGUAGUACAACAAUUCUGCUUGUGAUGGAACUGAUCCAGUCCCAUAAAUCGGGUACUUUGAGAUAAGUAGAACGAUGCUCGCCUAGAAAUUAAUUGUAUUCUUAAAAACUUAAUGACAUUCUUAAUUGCUUGGUGACGAACGACUUGGCUUCUUUUGGGCUCAAGUGUAAACUAUCAAAAUUUCAAUGGAACAUGAUUCGCAGAAGGAAUUCAGGUCAUGGACGAAUUGAGCAUCAAUUCAAGUGAGCUUCUUCCAGCAUGGCUCUUAUUUGAGAAGCCGACAUGCUCAGCUGGUGAGCCGUUCGAUAAUGGAUUACUCGUUUAUCCUCCUGCCCCGUGGUUUUGGAGCAAAAUUGGCAUCGAAAACGAAUAUUUGUGUGCUUGGCAAUGGCAUGGCGAAUCACGUGAGAUCUUUUCUUGGUGUUGUACCCGCACACCUUGCACACGAAAUGCUUGUCCUCUCCGUGCAUUUGGUAAACCAAUUCAUUUGCAUUUUCUGGAGUGAAAAUAGAUUUAAGCUCGCACCUACCUAGGCAAGGCAGAAGAGGCGCUACCUCUGUCCAAGGAGGCCUCUACCCUCCUUCUAAUGAAAAGGAAUCCUACGUUGAAAAGCAUUGAAAAAGAAACCAAGGCAUUCUCAUGAACUGGCGAGGUGGAG